GACGAACGCUGGCGGCGUGCUUAACACAUGCAAGUCGAACGGAAAGGCCCUGCUUUUGUGGGGUGCUCGAGUGGCGAACGGGUGAGUAACACGUGAGUAACCUGCCCUUGACUUUGGGAUAACUUCAUGAAACUGGGGCUAAUACCGGAUAUGAGCUCCUGCUGCAUGGGGGGGGUUGGUAAGUUGCGUCGUUUUGGCAUGGACGCGCGGCUUAUCAGCUUGUUGGUGGGGUGGUGGCGUACCGAGGCGUUGACGGGUAGCCGGACUGAGAGGGUGACCGGCCACAUUGGGCUUGGGGUAGCAGCCAUAGUCCAUCUUCAGGCAGCGGUGAGAGUCAGACCGAGCUACGCCGCGUGCGUAAAGAGGGUUGUCGCGUGCUGGAAGACGGUUUGUAGGUUAUAACGCGGGUUAGCGUGGGAAGAACCUCGAGUGACGGUAACGGGUCAGGAAGCACCGGCUAACUACGUG
rnacentral:rRNA from 1 species